UUGUACUUCGGUACAGCUAGUGGCGGACGGGUGAGUAAUACAUAGGAAUCUACCCGAGAGUGGGGGAUAACCCAGGGAAACUUGGAUUAAUACCGCAUGAUCUCUACGGAGCAAAGCUGGGGACCUUCGGGCCUGGCGCUUUUGGAGGAGCCUAUGUCUGAUUAGCUUGUUGGUGAGGUAACGGCUCACCAAGGCGACGAUCAGUAACUGGUCUGAGAGGACGACCAGUCACACCGGAACUGAGACACGGUCCGGACUCCUACGGGAGGCAGCAGUGGGGAAUAUUGGACAAUGGGCGAAAGCCUGAUCCAGCAAUGCCGCGUGUGUGAAGAAGGCCUUCGGGUUGUAAAGCACUUUAGGAUGGAAAGAAAAAACUUGACCUAAUACGUUAAGUCUUGACGGUACCAUCAGAAUAAGCACCGGCUAACUCUGUGCCAGCAGCCGCGGUAAUACAGAGGGUGCAAGCGUUAAUCGGAUUUACUGGGCGUAAAGCGUGUGUAGGUGGUGGCGUAAGUCGAUUGUGAAAUCCCCGGGCUCAACCUGGGAACUGCUUUCGAUACUGCGUGACUAGAGUACGGUAGAGGGUGGUGGAAUUUCCGGUGUAGCGGUGAAAUGCGUAGAUAUCGGAAGGAACAUCAAUGGCGAAGGCAACCACCUGGGCCUGUACUGACACUGAGACACGAAAGCGUGGGGAUCAAACAGGAUUAGAUACCCUGGUAGUCCACGCCGUAAACGAUGACAACUUGACGUUGGUUUGCUUAGCGAAUCAGUGUCGUAGCUAACGCGAUAAGUUGUCCGCCUGGGGAGUACGGCCGCAAGGUUGAAACUCAAAGGAAUUGACGGGGGCCCGCACAAGCGGUGGAGUAUGUGGUUUAAUUCGAUGCAACGCGAAGAACCUUACCUGGCCUUGACAUGUCCGGAAUCCUGCAGAGAUGCGGGAGUGCCUUCGGGAAUCGGAACACAGGUGCUGCAUGGCUGUCGUCAGCUCGUGUCGUGAAAUGUUGGGUUAAGUCCCGCAAC
rnacentral:rRNA from 1 species